UGCAGUCGAACGAGUUCUGAUUAUUGAAAGGUGCUUGCAUCUUGAUUUAAUUUUGAACGAGUGGCGGACGGGUGAGUAACACGUGGGUAACCUGCCCUUAAGUGGGGGAUAACAUUUGGAAACAGAUGCUAAUACCGCAUAAAUCCAAGAACCGCAUGGUUCUUGGCUGAAAGAUGGCGUAAGCUAUCGCUUUUGGAUGGACCCGCGGCGUAUUAGCUAGUUGGUGAGGUAACGGCUCACCAAGGCAAUGAUACGUAGCCGAACUGAGAGGUUGAUCGGCCACAUUGGGACUGAGACACGGCCCAAACUCCUACGGGAGGCAGCAGUAGGGAAUCUUCCACAAUGGACGCAAGUCUGAUGGAGCAACGCCGCGUGAGUGAAGAAGGCUUUCGGGUCGUAAAACUCUGUUGUUGGAGAAGAAUGGUCGGCAGAGUAACUGUUGUCGGCGUGACGGUAUCCAACCAGAAAGCCACGGCUAACUACGUGCCAGCAGCGGGCGGGUAA
rnacentral:rRNA from 2 species